rnacentral:rRNA from 1 species
AGUCAAUGAUCGAAAGAUUGAUCUAGUUACUUAGAAAGAUGAAUAUUAUAAAUAAACUAAUAUAAUCAUAUAUUUAUAUAUGAAAUAAUGUAGAAUAAUAAUAAUGGGUAAUAUAAAAUCUAAGUAUAUAUACUAAUAAUGAUAAUAUAUAUAUGUAAGUCUUAACAAAUAAUAGUGCCAGCAGUUGCGGUUAUACUAUAGAGACAAACGUUAAUCAAUAUGGCUUAAAGGAUCAGUAGAAUUUUAAUAUAAAUAAUAAGAAUAUUAAUAGAGUUAAAUAAAAGAUAGAAGAAUAAUUUAAUAGUUGCGAUGAAAUGUAUUAAACUAAAUUAGACUACUGAGUAUUGAAGAAAUCUAUCAGUAUAUUAACUGACAUUGAGAAGAUGAAAACAUGAGUAGUAAUCCGGAUUAGAUACCCGAGUAAAUUCAUGUAGUAAACUAUGAGUACUAAAUAAAAUAUAAGUGAAAACUAAAGUAUUCCGCCAGGUGAGUAUAUUCGCAAGAAUGAAAUCCAAAACAAUAGACGGUUACAGGUUUAGGCAGUGGAUAGUGUUAU